UAAAAGAGAAAAUAAUAUUACCAAAAUUUCAUUACCCUUGUAUAUAAGGCAACAAGGGUUUACCAUCACAUGAUAAAAUUAUUGUACUUCAUGCUUCACACAAUAUACAAGGAAUAUUUUUAAUUUAUUUUCUUUUUAGGCCUUUUUUAAUUGAGGUGAGGCACGUGGAAAGCUUUUACAUACCUCUGCAAGAGAGGCAAAGAACACACCAGGGAAGCACCAUCCCCUCCACCCACCCCACCCACUCGCGUCUCCCACGCCCAUUAAAUUCUUCCAGAAUUCCAGAAAAACAUCUUCCUCAAAAUCAUCUAUGAAGGAUUAUUGCCAUCGUUGAAUCAAGAAAUUCAAUCACCACUAUUCUUGGCUCUUUCGUUUUUUCCUUUGCAAUUCAUCAUCAAUAAGGCAAAGUGUUGAUUGACAAUCCAACACUUCUGGUGGACGAUAAGCAUCGAACCCAUUCCCCUCACGGCGGUAGGGGUGCCUCUCCUGCUGAAGGCGGUUGCCUUCCGAUCUCCUCUUCCUCGCCAGCGGCGGUCCACUUUUUCUUCCUCUCUCUUAGACUUUUGUUGUAACAAUUGUUAUAAAUAUUAUUUUUUGAUUACUCAUUAAAAAACAGGAGGAAUGUUGACUAUAAAGAGGGAGCCGACAUUAGUUUCAAACUACCAAAAGGAUAUUCUUCUUGAAAGUAACGUCGUUGGUUGUGGCAGAAAGUGCCUUGAAAAAUGCUGCUUGGCUGAUGGAAAUAUCAAUCCAAACCCUGGAAUGGGAUUCGAUAAGAUAUAACUGGGAGAGUAAGCCCCUGUUUGGAUGGUGGUUUUCCAUGGUAUGGUAUGGUAUGGUUACCCAGGAAACCAUGUUUGUAUUGAUUGUUUUUAAAAGGCAUGGUAUGGUAUGGUAUGUUUUCAUGGUUACCAAACCAUGAAAUCUCUCAAUUUUCAGAACCACCAAUUUGGUGGUAUCCCAUGGUUUUUUUUUUUUUUUUUCAAUUAUACCCUUAUAUAAUAUUCUUUAAUCCCAUUUUACCCUUCACCCUAUAUCACUUUUAAACCUAAUAUAUUUUUAUUUUACGUUUUUCUAUUUACCUUUUGAAUCGUGCUGUUAUCUCGUUGCGGUGGACUUUGGUGAAUUCCUGGUUUGUGAAUAUGUUAUUCUGGCCAGAGUUCAAUUUGAUGGAUGGAAUUACUUUGUAUAUGAAUUGCAAACAAUCAAUAGUGGUGUGCUGUAAGUAAACCUGUAUCUACAUUUUCUUGAUGCAAUCUGAGUGAAACAUUCCCUGUAAGCAAUGAGAGAAAGAAAAUUAUUUUAUUUAUUAAUAAUUUUUGAUAAAUUUAAAAUUUAUAAUAAUAAGGGGUGUUUUAGUAAAUUUACCAGUUACGAUCCAGUACCAUACCAUCAAACCAAACAAUAAAACUGUUAUUAAACAACAGUGAACGAUACAGUCGAUCCAAACAUUGUAUUGUACUAUACCAUACAGUACAAUACCAUACCAUACUGUACCAUACAUUAUGAAACCAUGUCAAACCAUCAUCCAGACGGAGUGUAAAGCGAAAGCUUACUUAUGAGAUGACUGCUAAUGUUCGGCUACAUGGUCACAAUGCCAAUAGUGCCGAUGUUCCGGGAACAUUAUGGGUUCAAGCAGCUGAUAACAGUGAACAAUACGUAGUCAUUGCCGACUGAUGUAGGUGCACUCUAGAUUCUCUAUGCAUGUCUUGGGUCAUAAUGAUGAUAUUAACAAACUUCAAGGCAAUGUGAACUGAUUGUAAUUACCAUUGUUAUUGCCUGGUGGAAGUUUGCGACGACAAAGUACUACUAACUGUGAUUGAUGCUCCUGGACAAAGGCAUUUUAUCCAGCACCUGAUUACUUUACUGGUACCUCCUAGGCUGACUGUGUUGUCCUCAUUAUUGACUACACCAUCGGUGGUUUUGAAGCUGGUAUCUCGAAGGGUGGACAAACGCGUCAGCACACACUGCUUGCUUUCCCACUUGGUGUCGAGCAACAUAAGAAAUAUCUUUCUUAAUUUAGAAUUCUGGCUACCUUUACAGUCUCGCACGGUAAUGGGAUCAAGAUCGAUCAUUAGAAACUAUGGGGGCGAUCAUAUAGAUCAAGCAAUUUCAGCCUUAAAAACAUAACCCAAAAUUAUGGGCCUCCCAUUUUCGGAGACGGCGUUUAUUGUUUUGAGAACUGUGAACGGAGUCCUUGGCCCGGUAAUCCAAAUAAUCCCUUCUUCAUCUUCAUUACUGUGCAAUAUUUAAUGUUUUCUUUUUCUUAUUCAUGGUUGUAAGUUUUGUACUUUUUUUCUUUUGGUGAUGGAUUGAGACAACGGUCUAUCCGGAACAGUAUCUAAAUAGCCUUUGAAGUAGGAUAAUUGUGUACAUCCCUCACCCUAUUUGAAUUGACUUUUAAAAUGUAUCUAAUAAGCUAAAAGUUAAAAUUAUAAGGUAGGGAUACCUUUCGAUGGCUUAUUUUUCACUUUUUAUUUUUAGUUUUCCUAAACAUCACCAAAACAAAAAAAGUGCCAAAACACAUAAAUCCAAACACUUUGUUGUUGUUGUAAACGUAAGUGGGGUUCGUUAUAUUCUUAUUCUUUGUUCAUCAUGGAUCGAUAUUCAAAUAGGGUAAUUUUAUAUUGAUUUGAAUUUAUUCUGGCGUGAUUUCUUUUCUUGAAUACAAUGAUCGGUGGAGUUGUAAUCCACUUUAACCCUUGAACAAUGACCUGCCUGUGCAUCUUCUAAUUAAUGUUUAUGCAAUUUUUGCAAUGUGUUAAACAGUUAGCAUCUGCCCUUAUUGUACUUGGGCUUGCAAGGGAUAUCAAGGAGCUUCGUAUGCAAGAAAAGGAGGCAGUCUGUUCAUAUUCUUUUUAUUUCCUUUCAAACAAACUAUUCAAGUAUGCUUUAUUUAUUAUCUAAUCUUCAAGUUUGACUCUUUCGUCUUCACCUGAAAGAGUUCAACACCUAAGAGGAAAUUUAUGAAGUUGUUUAUGUCGUAUAAGAACCAGCAAACUUUUCAUCCUUAAUAUGUAUUCAACUUAUAUCUGA